rnacentral:rRNA from 1 species
AGAACGAACGCUGGCGGCAUGCCUAAUACAUGCAAGUCGAACGAACACUUCGGUGUUAGUGGCGCACGGGUGCGUAACGCGUGGGAAUCUGCCCUUGGGUUCGGAAUAACAGUUGGAAACGACUGCUAAUACCGGAUGAUAUCGAAAGAUCAAAGAUUUAUCGCCCAGGGAUGAGCCCGCGUAGGAUUAGCUAGUUGGUGAGGUAAAGGCUCACCAAGGCGACGAUCCUUAGCUGGUCUGAGAGGAUGAUCAGCCACACUGGGACUGAGACACGGCCCAGACUCCUACGGGAGGCAGCAGUAGGGAAUAGUUGGACAAGUGGGACGAAAGCCUGAUCCAGCCAU